rnacentral:snRNA from 1 species
GUGCUCCCUUUGGCAACACAUACACUAAAAUUGGAACAAUACAGAGAAGAUUAACAUGGCCCCUGUGCAAGGAUGACAUGCAAAUUUGUGAAGCGUUCCAUAUUUUU